rnacentral:rRNA from 1 species
AACGUAGGUGGCAAGCGUUAUCCGGAUUUACUGGGCGUAAAGCGUGUGCAGGCGGGGGUACAAGUGGUGUAUGAAAUUUCCCAGCUUAACUGGGAAGGGUUAUGCCAGACUGUACUUCUGGAGUGCGAGAGAGGGGCGUGGAAUUCCGGGUGUAGUGGUGAAAUGCGUAGAGAUCCGGAGGAACCCCAGAGGCGAAGGCGGCGCCCUGGCUCGCAACUGACGCUCAGACACGACAGCAUGGGGAGCGGAACGGGAUUGAGAUACCCGA